AUAGAAGGUGGGGCUAACCCAGUGGUGUGCAGGCAUUAUGCCUUUGUUUAAUUAACACUUGUUAAGUGGAGCACAGGGUGCUGGAUAGUGAGCCGUGGUUCAACAACAGACCACAAGAGAAUUUGAAAUAGAGAAGUUUAUCAGUCACAGGUCCUGGAGGAAGUACACAGCACACCUUGAGGGGCCACAUGAGGCGGUCCAGGCAGAGUGCCCAGAGAGAGAGACAGGACCUGGGGUACAUGUUUUCAUUAGGGUCCAUGGUUGGAGUGAUUUGGGGUCCCCUGACUACAGCUGGAUUGGUCAAUCAAACCAGAAGAUUGGGAUAUUGGUUAGAGUUCAGGAGUAAGAAGAUCAUCUACCUCCUAGAAUUUUGUGAGAAUUAAAUGAGAUGACAGUUUUUAAAAGAAGAC